CUGGCGGCGUGCUAAUACAUGCAAGUCGAGCGGACAGAAGGGAGCUUGCUCCCGGAUGUUAGCGGCGGACGGGUGAGUAACACGUGGGUAACCUGCCUGUAAGACUGGGAUAACUCCGGGAAACCGGAGCUAAUACCGGAUAGUUCCUUGAACCGCAUGGUUCAAGGAUGAAAGACGGUUUCGGCUGUCACUUACAGAUGGACCCGCGGCGCAUUAGCUAGUUGGUGAGGUAACGGCUCACCAAGGCGACGAUGCGUAGCCGACCUGAGAGGGUGAUCGGCCACACUGGGACUGAGACACGGCCCAGACUCCUACGGGAGGCAGCAGUAGGGAAUCUUCCGCAAUGGACGAAAGUCUGACGGAGCAACGCCGCGUGAGUGAUGAAGGUUUUCGGAUCGUAAAGCUCUGUUGUUAGGGAAGAACAAGUGCAAGAGUAACUGCUUGCACCUUGACGGUACCUAACCAGAAAGCCACGGCUAACUACGUGCCAGCAGCCGCGGUAAUACGUAGGUGGCAAGCGUUGUCCGGAAUUAUUGGGCGUAAAGGGCUCGCAGGCGGUUUCUUAAGUCUGAUGUGAAAGCCCCCGGCUCAACCGGGGAGGGUCAUUGGAAACUGGGAAACUUGAGUGCAGAAGAG
rnacentral:rRNA from 1 species